rnacentral:rRNA from 1 species
UACGUAGGGGGCAAGCGUUGUCCGGAAUCAUUGGGCGUAAAGCGCACGUAGGCGGCUUUGCAAGUCGGGUGUGAAAGCCUGGGGCUCAACCCCAGAAGUGCAUUCGAAACUGCAGAGCUUGAGUCUUGGAGAGGGUGGUGGAAUUCCGAGUGUAGAGGUGAAAUUCGUAGAUAUUCGGAGGAACACCAGUGGCGAAGGCGACCACCUGGACAAAGACUGACGCUGAGGUGCGAAAGCGUGGGGAGCAAACAGG